rnacentral:lncRNA from 1 species
GAGGGAGCAUUAUAUUAAUUUGAAUAGUGAAUCUACUGAACAUGAGCAGAUGGGAAUUCCAAGGUCAACAGAGGCAACGUAUGACAAUUUGUUGGAGCAUUAUGUGGCACAAGCUGCUCAUAAAAUAACCUUUUUGCUGAUGAAAAUAGUACAAAAGAUGCACAUGCUGAGUCUCCUAUAAAUUGGUAUAAGUCUUCAUUAGAAUGAUCAGUAAUUUAAAAACAAUACUUAAUUCAAUACACCUAAAAGUGCAAAGAACAAAGUAGAAACAAAUAAUCAAGGAAGAGAACUCCUAGGAGAAAACACUUAUUUUGAGGGAAUCACAAGGGAACUACAAUAACAAGAACAGAUAACAAAUUUCUACCUAGACUAUUCCCUCCAUAUCAUAGUAAGGCUAGUGACUCCAUGAGAUUGUAUUCUAUAUAAACCCUUUGCAAAAAUAUGAAAAAAUGUUCAAAAUAACCACGUCGACAUCACAUGCACACACAUAGACAGUGAAAAACUCACCUCACUAUCCAAACACCUUUAGAAAGAAUAGAAUGGCCACUGGAGCAGCUGCAAUGAUGCUUCAGUGUGUCUUUGACGGAAGCUUGUCCAUGUCAGAUAUGGAUAUCGAGAGAUGACCUUGCCAUAAAAACUGCAGUUGUGCAUUGCACAAACAGAAGGGCCGGGGAUAUAUCACAGCCAAGCACUUGUGUCCAUAGUAGGAAUAUAUCAUUCCCCAAAAGGCAAAUCUGGAAAGAUAUGAUUUUGUCAAUAGAAACUCCCAAAUUCACUUCUCCAUCUUCAUCGUCUUGAGAUAAUUAAUCAGUUGGGAGUGUACAGCAUACAGCUCCAAUGUUAGCUAGUAGUUGAUAGAUUUUCCUUUGUACAUUCUGGUAAGUACAUGUAUACUUCAGUAUCCGCUUCAUAGGUGAUGCAAAUUUACAAAAGAAAGAAAUGCAACUUGUUUUCUUUCUUUCCAGGAUUCAAAAGAUUUUAACUUUAGCGAACACUGAGAAUGCAGCAUUUGAAUUCACAUUGUACACGUUCGUUAGUAGAAUUAGUUUUUGUUCACUAACAGAGUUUGUACACUGAUUCUAAACUUACCAUCACUUCAUCUUUCACAUUCUUUUCUUCUGUCCUGUUAGGCUCCCAUAGUCCCCGAAAUUAGUCCACUGGUUUGUUAUUUACACUUCUCUCAUCCUCAUUGUUUAACAAAUUCUGUUCCUCGUAGUCUAUUAAAUUUCGUUAUUUCACUAAGACAAAUGGUUUGUUCAUAGUUCAUUCUGCGUCAUCAGUAAAGUCAAAGGGAAUAAUGUCGGAAUGGCCUACUUCUAUGUCUUUUCUGAACUUACAUUGCCAUUCACAAUAUACAAGGAAAUACUUUGUAAGCCUUUUCUAAAUCAUCUGUCACUUUCACCAGAUCUGUUUACUACUCAUCCAAAUGGAUUUGUAACGUGUUUUCAACUGCUCUUUAAAUAUAUGCAAGGGUUAAUACCAAAAGCAUCCAAGAUAGAGAAAUCAAAAAAGCAACUCAGUGCACUAAGCUUCUACUGAGUAGGGUCACAGUCUUACCUUGCAUUUCUGCAAAGAGGUUAUCUCCACAGCUCGAACCCAUGACCUCACAUAGCAGUAACUUUACCAAUUACGCCAAGCUCCCCUUCUCAAGAUGGAAAAGCUAUGUCAAUAUUUGCACAAAAGUCUUAUCAUUCAGGGUCUACAGCCAUCAAUAAUGCAGUUGAACUUGUAUGGAAACCCCACCACUUGAAGGGCCAGAGAAGGUUUGUAAUUUUGGUAUAUUUUGUAUAUCUUUAGUUUAAGACCGCAAGAUUCAAAAGUCUUCUUUAAUUUCUUGAAUUUCGUGCCAAAUCAAAACCAGACAA